CACGAUGGCGGGGUUUCUCGAUCAUCGGGAUCAAGGUUUUGACUACGCCGGGGAGGAAAGUCCGAGCUCCGAAGGAUGAUGCAUCCUGUUAACGUAGGACCGAUGGAACAGUUUUAAAAGGGUGUUAAACCAUCGAGGAUUAGAGCUACAGUGACGAUACCUGCUGGCGAGUCUCCUCUUUUCUGGGGACUCGUCCAUCAGGGGUGAAACGAGCAAUCUCUGCAUGGAGCAAGGCCAAAUAGGGGAAGAUGUUUCUCAUCCAAACGGUUGACCGGUGUUGGCGUGGGAGGCAACGAGGUGAUCCGCUUCGUCAGGAUUCCCGGGUAGGCUGCAAGAGUAUAGAGAGCGAUCUCUAAAGUCAGUUGAAUAACCACCCUUCGAUAGCAAUAUCGAAGCACAAAACUCGGCUUAUUGGCCUGCUUUUUUU
rnacentral:RNase_P_RNA from 4 species